AUUGAACGCUGGCGGCAGGCCUAACACAUGCAAGUCGAGCGAGCGGCGGACGGGUGAGUAAUGUAUGGGGACUGCCCGAUAGAGGGGGAUAACUACUGGAAACGGUAGCUAAUACCGCAUACUAUCGGAUAACCCAUAUGGGAUUAGCUAGUAGGUGGGGUAAAGGCUAACCUAGGCGACGAUCUCUAGCUGGUAUGAGAGGAUGAUCAGCCACACUGUGUCUUGUACACGGCCCAGACUCCGACGGAGGCAGCAGUGGUGAAUAUUGCACAAUGGGCGCAAGCCGGAUGCAGCCAUGCCGCGUGUAUGAAGAAGGCCUUAGGGUUGUAAAGUACUUUCAGCGGGGAGGCGUUACCCGCAGAAGAAGCACCGGCUAACUCCGUGCCAGCCGCCGCGGUAAUUC
rnacentral:rRNA from 1 species